rnacentral:rRNA from 1 species
UCCACCCGGCCAUAGCAGGGGGGCAACACCCGGUCUCAUCUCGAACCCGGAAGUUAAGUCCCCUGCGUUGGCGGUGCGGUGGGAUCCGAAAGGGCCCGCAGCGCCACCAAGCUGGGAUGGA